AAGAUACUAGUAAAACAUCUAUUACACUGCCUUGUCGAGGCAGAAUUGUGGGUUUGAUUCCCGCGUAUCUUA
rnacentral:tRNA from 1 species